rnacentral:rRNA from 1 species
AUUGAACGCUAGCGGGAUGCUUUACACAUGCAAGUCGAAUGAGUGGCGGACGGGUGAGUAAUAUAUCGGACCGUGCCCAGUAGCGGGGGAUAACUACUCGACAGAGUGGCUAAUACCGCAUACUAUUGGAGCCGCCGAUAUCGGAUUGGCUAGUUGGUGGGGUAACGGCUCACCAAGGCAACGAUCCGUAGCUGGUUUGAGAGGACGACCAGCCACACUGGGACUGAGACACGGCCCAGACUCCUACGGGAGGCAGCAGUGGGGAAUUUUGGACAAUGGGGGAAACCCCGAUCCAGCCAUCCCGCGUGUAUGAGAAGGCCCUAGGGUUGUAAAGUACUUUCAGUCGGGAGGCGUUACCGACAGAAGAAGCACCGGCUAACUCCGUGCCAGCAGCCGCGGUAAUUC